rnacentral:rRNA from 1 species
GACGUAGGGCGCGAGCGUUGUCCGGAUUUAUUGGGCGUAAAGAGCUCGUAGGCGGCUUGUUACGUCGACUGUGAAAACCCGCGGCUCAACCGUGUGGCUUGCAGUCGAUACGGGCAGGCUAGAGUUCGGUAGGGGAGUCUGGAAUUCCUGGUGUAGCGGUGAAAUGCGCAGAUAUCAGGAGGAACACCGGUGGCGAAGGCGGGACUCUGGGCCGAUACUGACGCUGAGGAGCGAAAGCGUGGGGAGCAAACAGG